UGACUUAGUGGCGGACGGGUGAGUAACGCGUGGGUAACCUGCCUUACACAGGGGGAUAACAGUUAGAAAUGACUGCUAAUACCGCAUAAAACAGCAGAGUCGCAUGACUCAACUGUCAAAGAUUUAUCGGUGUAAGAUGGACCCGCGUCUGAUUAGCUGGUUGGUGGGGUAACGGCCUACCAAGGCGACGAUCAGUAGCCGGCCUGAGAGGGUGAACGGCCACAUUGGGACUGAGACACGGCCCAAACUCC
rnacentral:rRNA from 1 species